AAGGGAGAGAGGCCUUUCCACUGCGCCAGAUCAAGCUGCAGCAGGUAGGCAGCCAUUAAAUGGAGAGAGAGACUGAUGGACAAACACACGCAAAGACAGACACACACGCACACAGACACAGACACACACAGACACACACAGGCAGAAAGUAGGUAUUAAAAUAUAAUUUCAUAUCCAUGUUGCAGGGGGAAACAGAGAUGGCUGUCAGCCUGUGGAGAGAAGCUGCAGCAUCUGAUGUGCUCCAGGUUGGAGCGACUGUCAGGGUGUCCCAUCUUAGGACUAACCAGGGACAGUUUGGGACACAACUGCACCAACUUCACUUCCGUUGAGGAGGUGAUCUCAGAGGAGGUGGUGGGUGCGUGUGGGGUGAUGGACCUCGAGGGCUCUCCUGGCAUCCUGAACCUCCUGCUGGAGGUCGACCGCAUGACUACUAUUAGCAGGGCUCUGUUGGCGCCCAUAGAGCCCCACAUCACCAACCCGCCCUUAAGGGUAAAGCUGCAGAAGCACGGCAAUCGGGUUGUCAAAAUUGAAAUAGUUAAAAGUUCAUUUGUUUUUUUAUGUUGUUUAUUUGUUCCUGAAUGUGUAGUUAUUUAUUCAGUUAGUGUUAAUUUUGUUACAUGUUCAUGUUAAUAAAUUUGAAAUAUUUAAAGAACAUUUCUGCUUUUUUAAUGGUGUCCUUUGUUUCAUAGAAUCUUCAUUAUUGACCGUAAAUGCUGUGAAUACUUUUCUGGUGAUUUGUAUAAUAUACACAUGUCUCUGAUGAGUCCGGCCUGGUCCACAGAGCCUAUCGGCGAGCCAAAGGGGGGCAGUGAUCAGAGCCCCCGACAUGCUGUGCAGCCCGCUCUCUUCUAACCUGCUAUGACUGCCGCUCAGGCCCCGACAAAUUCUUCCAAGCAAAACAUAAAAAAAAUAAUAUUAAACAUAUUCAUUCAUUCAUUUUGGUCAAAUCAAUUUACUCUAGAUGGCCAUUAAUAUUGUUAUAGUUUUAAUGGCAAUACAGGUUGAAAAACACUACCUUUAAUCAGUAACUGGAAGAGUUUCGGUAUCAAUACUACUAUUUCUACGGCUAUGAAUACUACAACUACUACUCAUUUUACUACUAUGACUAAUAGCUAACAAUAUUAGUGGGGAUGCCCGUAGAUAUUAGUGGAAAGUCACUUUAAUGCCUUAUCGUUUAUACUUUAGAGGUUAACUAAUAUCUAAGGUUGUGACUGUUUCACUUUCCAAAUCAGUAACUUAACAAAUGUUGAAUAAAUACACAAAGAAACUGAACUGGGGUGAACUUUGCUCCUUUUGUGUUGUGGUGUAAUUAUUAUCUAUAUACAUUUAGUUUAGGGGUGUGAUUAUAAACUAAGUUUACAUUUAGUUGUGUUUUAUGGAGAAGCAGCAUAACACAAGGAGAAUGACGUGUGUGCUGACAUUCAGAUACUGUAGCUUGUAUUCUGUAAUAUCUUAUGGUUAGAGUUCAAAUAGCCAUAUUCUAUACAUGAAACAAAUCAUUGCAUACAAGUUACAGUUUUUGCCCAUUGCUUGAACACAUUUUGUAAAAUUUCGCUCAUUGUGCCAAAACUCUACACACAAGUAAACAUGACACAACACUGAGAAAUAUACCAUUCACAUCUGUGUCAAAUUGAAACUGUACUAUCAAAACCUAACAUUCCUUUGUCAAAAUGUAACUCUGAUGACAAAAUGACACAUACAUGCAUCAUUUGAAUACACAUUCAGAUCAGCAGCAACACACUAGUCUACUUGACCUCACCUCAAUGUCUCCGCAGGCCUGUUCCAUUGCCUGCAGAAGAGGCAUACGGCCAUGGGGUUGGCGGUCAUAUACGUACCAUCUCCAAGCGAAAAAAAAAAAAAUUCCUCUAUAGGAUUUAGAAAUGGCGAGUAAGGGGGCAAGUACACAACUUCAAAUUGAUCAUGGUUGGUGAACCAGUUCUGGACCAGAGCAGCCCGAUGGAAACUAACAUUCUCCCAGACAACAACAAACCUGGGCUGAUCUGGUCCAUCUUGUACAAUUGCAUUAUGAAGUGCAUCUAGAAAUGUGAUUAUGUGUUGCGCAUUAUAGGGACCCAGUUUGGCAUGAUGGUGCAGUAGCCCUCGAAGACUUAUGGCAGCACACAAUGUUAUAUUUCCCCCGCGCUGCCCCGGGACGUGCAAAAUUGCCCUUUGGCCAAUUAUAUUUUUUUAACAUUCUGGGAAAUAUUCGCACCUGAUGUCCUGGAGGUUUUUAAUGAGAGUCUGGCCUCUAGUUCCAUGCCGAUGUCCUGCCGCAGAACGGUGAUAACACUACUGCCGAAGGGGAACCUGCAGGACAUCGGCAACUGGCGCCCUGUGUCUCUACUGUGCGUGGAUUACAAGCUUCUGUCCAGGGUCUUUGCCUCCAGGCUGAGGGAAGCUAUGGAGCAGGUCAUCCAUCGGGACCAGACCUACUGUGUGCCCGGCAGGUCCAUGGUAGACAAUGUCUACCUCAUUCGAGAUGUUUUGGAGGUCGCCAGCUCGUUAGGUAUUAAUACUGGUCUGAUUUCUCUAGACCAGGGAAAGGCUUUUGACCGCGUUGAGCACAGCUUCCUCUGGAAGGUCAUGGGGAAGUUUGGGUUCAGCGCUGGUUUCAUAGCUAAGAUCAAAGUGUUGUAAAGCGAGGUUGAGAGUGUGCUGAAGAUAAACGGUAGUCUGUGCGCUCCUUUAAGGGUGCGUAGAGGGGUCCGGCAGGGUUGUGCCCUGUCCGGAAUGCUCUAUGCACUCUCCCUGGAACCCCUUCUCAGCAGAAUACGCUCUAGCCUGGAGGGCUUGGUUUUACCUGGUUUUAGUAGGAACAUAUCAGCUUAUGCAGAUGAUGUUGUUGUUUUUAUUAAGGACCAGAGGGAUGCAGACCUUUUAAACAGCAUGGUGGAGGAUUUUAGCAAGGCAGCGAGGGUGAACUGGAGGAAAAGCGAAGCCCUUGCUGUCGGUGAAUGGCGUGACGGCCUCCCGGUUCUUCCCCAAAGGUUAGUUUGGAGAAAAGACGGUUUUAAAUACCUGGGGAUCUAUCUGGGACAAAGAGACAUGGUCCAAAAGAACUGGGAGGGCGUCACAGAGAAGAUAGAGGGAAAACUUGUAAAAUGGAAAUGGCUGCUCCCUCAGAUGUCUUUUAAAGGUAGAGUGUUGGUUUUAAACAAUCUCAUUGCAUCUCAUUUGUGGCACCGCUUAACCUGCCUAGACCCACCCUCUGGGUUUCUAUCCAACAUACAACGAAAGAUGGUAGAUUUCUUAAGGGAGGGUCUACACUGGGUGCCACAAGGGGUGCUGUUUUGAGCCAGAGAGGAGGGGGGACAGGGCCUUGUCCACUUGGCCAGCUGGACGGCCACUUUAAGGUUACAGUUUUUGAAAAGUUACCUCACAUGUCCGGAGGGUUUAGUGUGGCGAGAUGUGGCCACUUGUAUCCUCAGACGUACAGACAACCUGGGGCUGGAUACUGCUGUUUUUAAUGGAUCCCAAUAUUUUAAAUAUAAAAGGGCUGCCUCUGUUUUAUCAGGGCGUUUUUAAGUGUUGGGCCCUUUUUAUUCAAAAACGAUGUCCACUGUCUAUCUCUUUGUACUGGUUGUUGAGAGAACCAUUGAUUUGCAGGGCCAAGUUGGACGUCAGCAGCAGCGUCACCCCUGACCUGACGGGGGCGCUGCGAAAAACAAGAACAUUGUGCCUGCACCAGCCGGUGGACGCAGUGGGGCCGACGCUGAGCGAUGCCCCGGCCCUGGGCUCACUGCUUGGGCUGCAUUUGGUCCGGGGGGCGGGGAGGCUCCUGGAACUGUGGAGCCAAAGGCUGACGGGGGAAGAAAAGAGCCUCCUCAUGGAAUACAGCCAGAAGAAGAUGAUACCGGACCCUGCAGACCCAUUUCCAGAGAUCUACCUGAGUCCGGGGCUAGGGGAUCUCACCGGCCAGUCUAUGAGCUCAGAGAGACUAUUUAUCAUGUUUUUACUGAGUGUAAGCGACUCGCAGGUUUCUUCUCUCUUUUAACAUUGGUUUUUAGUCUUUUUAGCGUGUUUUUUACGGAAAGGGUUUUUAUUAUGGGAGCUGCCUACAAGAAAACGGAAAAAGAAAAAUGGCAGCUCCUUAACUUUCUGUGCGGAGAGGCAAAAAUGGCAAUUUAUUUAAGCAGAAAAAACAGAGAGGAGAACCGAGAGGGGCAGGAGGCAAAAGUGAUAUGCCUGUGCAACAUUAGAGCAAGGCUCUAAUGGACGCUUUUAAACAGCGCUGGUGUUUUAAUGACAUUGUUUGUUCUGUGGUCAAUGGCGAGCUGGUAUUUGCACGUUUUUAGCAGGUGAUUACAUAGUUUUACUUUUUUUUUUUUUUUUUAAUGUUGUAUUUUUUCUUGGAAGGAAAAAACAACAACAACAAAAAGUGGCACGUGUGAUCAUGUCUUUCUCCCGUCCUCCUCCUCUCUUUCCAUUCAUUCCCCUCUCCCUUCUUCACCCUCUUUCUUUCUCCCCUCUUUCUCCCUUCCUCCUCCUCUCUUUCCAUUCAUCCCCCUCUUCCUUCCUCACCCUCUCGCCCUUUUUCUUUCUCUCUUCCUCCCUCCCUCUCUUUCACCUUUGCUCUCUCUAGUGUGCUCUCUCCUUCUACCCUCCACAAUGCCAACAUGGAGGGAAUUUUACUGAAGUGUUCCACCAGCCAUCAUUGCUAAAGGGAUAAGAAACCUCUACUGAAAAUAAGUCACAUGCAGCAUUCAAAAUGAACAGUGACGGACAACUACGGCUACGGUUGAAUAUUUAUUGCAACAAAUUAUUAUUAUUAUUAUUAUAAACAAGCGUAAAAAACAAUUGAACAUAAGUAACAAGUCAAAACAAAAUGAACACAUAACUGAUACAUUAUGAACACAAUCUUAUAAACAUAUACAUUUUAUAACAGUAGAAAUUUAAAUUUUUCGCCACUUCCAUCGCCUGCACCUUGUUUCCUGUCAUUUUUAUUUGAACUUUUAUUACGGGUUCGAUCAUAACAAGUUCGAUUGGCUCCCACAAUCUCUCCUCAAUUAAGACGGUACGGCCGUCUUCUAGGAGAAGGUUGAGGUUCCCCGGAUCUCCCUCAAUCUCUAUCACCCCGAGUGCCCCCACGAUGUCCUCUGAGCGUACCUCCUGUUGAGAGAAAAGUGGACAUUAUCCCGCUGUCAGCCGCAAUCCAGAGCAAUCAUUAUCGUUUUUAAGCAGGAGAAUAAAAUAACCCCAGCACGGAGGCAUUGCAUUAUAAUUUAUUCAACUUUUUUUUUAAAUAACAUAACAUCACUCAAUCAAACUUUGCUGUUGAAGCCAGAUAGUGUAAAGAUUAUCUAAAAAGUGAAUGUUUGUUUCAAUUUCAUAAAAAAACAAGUAGGCCUACCUCGAUGGUGGAAAAGUUUGUGGACUGGAGUCUGAGCCCAUAGUUUAAACUCUCAGCUUUAAGAUGGGAAACUUUAAUGUGGGCCCCACCUGCAGCUGCCAUACGGCCGCCUCCCUCCAGAAACACAGCGACAUCUGUGAUUCCCCCUGUAGAAGACAACAGAGCAUCCUCCUUAUCUGCAUUGUGUUUGCCGUCACCCUCCUCCUCCUCCUGACUCGCUUUUUCUAUAUUGAACGGCAGACCAUAACGGCUGGUGACUCUAAAGUGCAAGUUCACACAUGGAAGUACACCGCAGGAUAAGCGGUUUGACAAUGAAUCCUGCCAGUGUUGGUGACUCCUUGGAUAUUUGACAAAAUCUUUCGUUCAAUGGGUGAGCGGGAAAAUAGAGAAUCCUUGACAUCUGACUCAUCAUUUACAUAAACUAUCCUGAAGUCGAAAACAGAGAGAAAAUGGCCCUAAAACAGCUUCUUGGGACCAAAAUGCCCACGGCUUAUUUGAAACCACCAGCAAUCCACCUAUGCGUGGUUCGGAAAAAAGAGCAGGCCAGGGUGGUGACCUGGAACUUUGGCGUAACGGGUGCGAGUCCAGCUGUUACAAAAAAAAAAACGUACUUGUGUUUUUUUCGGACGGGAAGUCUCUUACAAAGACGACCAUUUAUGAGGAGUUUUCCUCCUUUUCAGGAGGGUGGGAGUUAUUUUGUUAAGGGGUAUGGGUUAAGAGGGCAGUCGGUUCUCCAUCAUGCUAAAUAUUAGUAGGGAAACCGUCUUCUUUAGAAGAUAGCAAUAAGCCAAGAGCUCAGGAGCCAAGCGGAGAGCCUCCUCUGCCCCCCAUCUCCUCUGACCCCCCUGAGCAGCUGUGCAGAUGUGGCGGGGCUGUUUACCGUGGAGGGGGAGGUCGUCGAAGUAAGUUCAGUCUUAGCCUGUGGUCGUGUAAAUAAGGUAACAGGUUUAAAAAUAUGGUGCAUUGGCAUACAUUGUUAUUAACUCACAAAUCCAUCUUGUUUAGAUGUCAAUUGUGAGGAAAAUAAAAAAGGAAAAAGAGGCCUACCCCCUGCGCCAAAUACAGCUGCAGCAGGGGGAAACAGCAGUCUGGGAUCUGCUCCAAGUGGGGGGACACAUCAGAGUGUCCCAUCUAAGGACCACCCUGUCCCAAUAUGGGACGCAGGCGCAUUCCACAAAUAUUUCCACCAUUGAGGAGGUGACAUCAGAGGAGGUGGUUGGUGUGUGUGGGGUGGUUGAAGUGGAGGGCUCUCCAGACACCCUGAACCUCCUGCUGGAGGACGACCGCACCACCACCGUCAGCAGAGCGCUGUGGGAGCCCCUUGACCCCCAACUGAAAAAUCCACCCCUGUGAAAAUAAAAAUCAUUGGCAAUCAUGUGUCCAAAAUGUAAUUGUAUAAAGUUUAAUUUGUUUGUUUCAUAUGUUCUUUGUUCCUGAACAUUCUGUAAUGCAUGAGUUGUUUUACUGUGUUUAUUUUGUUAUUUCUAUUGUUGGAUUGAUCCGUUCUGUCAAAAAAAAAUAUUUCAAAAGCUGAGAGAAGUGUUUUUUUUCCUCAUAAAUGUGAUAAUUAAAAUACCUGAGUGUAACAGAUUGGUCCUCUGGGGGGGGGGUCUUGGAAAGACGAGCAUGAGGCAGUCGGGUCCAUUAUAAAUGGUUUUAUUUAUUGUUUCACACCCAAAACACAGCCGGCUCCAGCUUCCUCGCUCUCUCGCUGUCGCCGGACCUCUCCUACUUAACAGGCAGAAUACAAACACGGAUUAAUAUCAGCUGAGGCCAAUUGCCUCCCCCGGCACCGUUCCCUGAACCACUCCCUUCUCAGUCCCCCCCUGCAGCCGAGCCAAACCACGCCCGCCACCACACUGACAUAUACUAUAUAUCUUUUUGACAAUUUACAUUACAACAUUGCUAGCUAGAUAUCUCAAAGUAUCAGUCAUCAAUUUCCUGUUUUAGUCAUACAACAUACCUUUUCCAAGCGCAGAGCCUCUUCUGACCCCCCUGAGCAGCUGUACAGAUGUGGCCGGGCUGUUCACCGUGCAGGGGGAGGUCCUCGAGGUGAGUUCAAUCUUAGCCUGUUGUGGUGUAAAACAGGGCAACAGGUUUAAUAUUUGGUGCAUAUUGGCAUAAAUUGUUAUUAACUAGCAAAUCCAUCUUGGAAAGUGUCAGUGGUAUGAGAUCAGGGCUCCUAAAUGAAAAAAAAAUUAGGAGCAGUGUUUUUUUUAAGCAGUUCCUGCUCAUUGCCACACUAUUGCAGAGCCAUAGAAAAGAGUUGCGACACCACACUUUUUUAUAUGGCUCUGGCCCAUUGGUUGCAAAUUUGCAUAAAGUUUAGUGCAUCGGGUAUCG
ensembl:lncRNA